GAUGAACGCUAGCGGCAGGCUUAAUACAUGCAAGUCGUGGGGCAGCAGGGUUGUAGCAAUACAAUCGCUGGCGACCGGCAAACGGGUGCGUAACACGUACGCAACCUUCCCGUUACUGUGGCAUAGCCCAGGGAAACUUGGAUUAAUACCACAUAUUAUAUUGGUGAGGCAUCUCAUUGAUAUCAAAGCUUCGGCGGUAACGGAUGGGCGUGCGGUUGAUUAGGUAGUUGGCGGGGUAACGGCCCACCAAGCCUACGAUCAAUAGCUGAUGUGAGAGCAUGAUCAGCCACACGGGCACUGAGACACGGGCCCGACUCCUACGGGAGGCAGCAGUAAGGAAUAUUGGGCAAUGGACGAAAGUCUGACCCAGCCAUGCCGCGUGAAGGAUUAAGGUCCUCUGGAUUGUAAACUUCUUUUCUCCGGGGCGAAAACCAGCUAUUCUUAGCUAUUUGACAGUACCAGAGGAAUAAGCACCGGCUAACUCCGUGCCAGCCGCCGCAGUAAGAC
rnacentral:rRNA from 1 species